UACGGGGGGGGCAAGCGUUGUUCGGAAUUACUGGGCGUAAAGGGCUCGUAGGUGGCCAACUAAGUCAGACGUGAAAUCCCUCAGCUUAACUGGGGAACUGCGUCUGAUACUGGAUGGCUUGAGAUUGGGAGAGGGAUGCGGAAUUCCAGGUGUAGCGGUGAAAUGCGUAGAUAUCUGGAGGAACACCGGUGGCGAAGGCGGCAUCCUGGACCGACAUUGACGCUGAUGAGCGAAAGCUAGGGGAGCAAACGGG
rnacentral:rRNA from 1 species